GACGAACGCUGGCGGCGUGCUUAACACGUGCAAGUCGAACGAUGAAGCUGGAGCUUGCUCCAGUGGAUUAGUGGCGAACGGGUGAGUAACACGUGAGCAAUCUGCCCUUGACUCUGGGAUAACUGCGGGAAACUGUAGCUAAUACCGGAUACGACACCUUGGGGCAUCCCGGGGUGUGGAAAGAAUUUCGGUCAAGGAUGAGCUCGCGGCCUAUCAGCUUGUUGGUGAGGUAAAGGCUCACCAAGGCGACGACGGGUAGCCGGCCUGAGAGGGUGACCGGCCACACUGGAACUGAGACACGGCCCAGACUCCUACGGGAGGCAGCAGUGGGGAAUAUUGCACAAUGGGCGCAAGCCUGAUGCAGCGACGCCGCGUGAGGGAUGAAGGUCUUCGGAUUGUAAACCUCUUUCAGUAGGGACGAAGCGAAAGUGACGGUACCUAAAGAGGAAGCACCGGCUAACUACGUGCCAGCAGCCGCGGUAA
rnacentral:rRNA from 1 species